ACGGGAGGCAGCAGUGAGGAAUAUUGGUCCAUGGUCGGACGACUGAACCAGCCAAGUAGCGUGAAGGAUGACUGCCCUAUGGGUUGUAAACUUCUUUUAUGCGGGAAUAAAGUGCGCCACGCGUGGUGCUUUGCAUGUACCGCAUGAAUAAGGAUCGGCUAAUUCCGUGCCAGCAGCCGCGGUAAUACGGAAGAUCCGCGCGUUAUCCGGAUUUAUUGGGUGUAAAGGGAGCGUAGGCGGGCGUUUAAGUCAGUGGUCAAAGCAUGUGGCUCAACCAUACCACGCCAUUGAUAAUGGAUGCCUUGAGUGCACAUAAGGAUGGUGGAAUGAAUGGUGUAGCGGUGAAAUGCUUAGAUAUCAUGAAGAACUCCGAUUGCGAAGGCAGCUGUCCGGGGUGUAACUGACGCUAAUGCUCGAAAGUGCGGGUAUCAAACAGGAUUAGAUACCCUGGUA
rnacentral:rRNA from 1 species